GUUAUAACCGGCGAUACCCGAAUGGGGAAACCCAGUGUGAUUCGUCACACUAUCAUUAACUGAAUCCAUAGGUUAAUGAGGCGAACCGGGGGAACUGAAACAUCUAAGUACCCCGAGGAAAAGAAAUCAACCGAGAUUCCCCCAGUAGCGGCGAGCGAACGGGGAGGAGCCCAGAGCCUGAAUCAGCAUGUGUGUUAGUGGAAGCGUCUGGAAAGGCGCGCGAUACAGGGUGACAGCCCCGUACACAAAAGCGCAUGUGCUGUGAGCUCGAUGAGUAGGGCGGGACACGUGGUAUCCUGUCUGAAUAUGGGGGGACCAUCCUCCAAGGCUAAAUACUCCUGACUGACCGAUAGUGAACCAGUACCGUGAGGGAAAGGCGAAAAGAACCCCGGCGAGGGGAGUGAAAAAGAACCUGAAACCGUGUACGUACAAGCAGUGGGAGCCCCACCACUAAGCCAGUGGUGAACUCCACAUCCGCAUCCUUUGCUGAGGAUACGGUUAACGGAGCGAAAGCGACGUUCAACCGCAAAACAAGCAGAGGGGGCUUAGUGGUGGGGUGACUGCGUACCUUUUGUAUAAUGGGUCAGCGACUUAUAUUCUGUAGCAAGGUUAACCG
rnacentral:rRNA from 1 species